rnacentral:rRNA from 1 species
AUUGAACGCUGGCGGCAGGCCUAACACAUGCAAGUCGAACGAGUGGCGGACGGGUGAGUAAUGUCUGGGAAACUGCCCGAUGGAGGGGGAUAACCACUGGAAACGGUAGCUAAUAACGCAUACCAUCGGAUGUGCCCAGAUGGGAUUAGCUAGUAGGUGGGGUAAAGGCUCACCAGGGCGACGAUCCCUAGCUGGUCUGAGAGGAUGACCAGCCAACCUGGAACUGAGACACGGGCCAGACUCCUACGGGCGGCAGCAGGGGGGAAUAUUGCACAUUGGGCGCAAGCCUGAUGCAGCCAUGCCGCGUGUAUGAAGAAGGCCUUCGGGUUGUAAAGUACUUUCAGCGGGGAGGCGUUACCCGCAGAGGAAGCACCGGCUAAUUCCGUGCCAGCAGCCGCGGUAAUAC